rnacentral:rRNA from 1 species
ACGCUGGCGGCAGGCUUAACACAUGCAAGUCGAGCGGUAACAGGGGUGCUUGCACCCCGCUGACGAGCGGCGGCGGGUGAGUAAUGCUUAGGAAUCUGCCCAGUAGUGGGGGACAACAGUCGGAAACGGCUGCUAAUACCGCAUACGCCCUACGGGGGAAAGCAGGGGAUCUUCGGACCUUGCGCUAUUGGAUGAGCCUAAGUCGGAUUAGCUAGUUGGUGGGGUAAAGGCCUACCAAGGCGACGAUCCGUAGCUGGUCUGAGAGGAUGAUCAGCCACAUCGGGACUGAGACACGGCCCGAACUCCUACGGGAGGCAGCAGUGGGGAAUAUUGGACAAUGGGCGCAAGCCUGAUCCAGCCAUGCCGCGUGAGUGAUGAAGGCCUUAGGGUUGUAAAGCUCUUUUGUCCGGGAAGAUAAUGACUGUACCGGAAGAAUAAGCCCCGGCUAACUUCGUGCCAGCAGCCGCGGUAAUACGAAGGGGGCUAGCGUUGCUCGGAAUCACUGGGCGUAAAGGGCGCGUAGGCGGACUCUUAAGUCGGGGGUGAAAGCCCAGGGCUCAACCCUGGAAUUGCCUUCGAUACUGAGAGUCUUGAGUUCGGAAGAGGUUGGUGGAACUGCGAGUGUAGAGGUGAAAUUCGUAGAUAUUCGCAAGAACACCAGUGGCGAAGGCGGCCAACUGGUCCGAUACUGACGCUGAGGCGCGAAAGCGUGGGGAGCAAACAGGAGUUAGAUACCCUGGUAGUCCACCGCCGUAAACGAUGAAUGCCAGCCGUUGGGGGCAUGCACAUUCAGUGGCGCAGCUAACGCUUUAAGCUUCCGCCUGGGGAGUACGGUCGCAAGAUAAAACUACAAGAGAAUGACG